UGGGGAAUAUUGCACAAUGGGGGGAAACCCCGUGAUGCAGCGACGCCGCGUGAGCGAAGAAGUAUUUCGGUAUGUAAAGCUCUAUCAGCAGGGAAGAAAUUGACGGUACCUGAGUAAGAAGCUCCGGCUAAAUACGUGCC
rnacentral:rRNA from 1 species